CCUGUUUAACAAAAACAUGUCUUUUUGAGUUAUUUUUAAAGUCUGACCUGCCCACUGAAGUUAUUUAAAUGGCCGCAGUAUUCUAACUGUGCAAAGGUAGCAUAAUCAUUAGUCUUUUAAUUGAAGGCUGGUAUGAACGGUUGGACGAGGUAUAAGCUGUUUCAUAUAAAUUUAUAAUAGAAUUUUAUAUUUUAGUCAAAAAGCUAAAAUUUAAUUAAAAGACGAGAAGACCCUAUAAAUCUUUAUACUUCAUGCUGUUUAAAUUUUUUAGAUUAAUUUUAUUUUUAUAGUUUGAAGUAUUUUGUUGGGGUGAUAUUAAAAUUUAAUGAACUUUUAAUUAUUAAAAAUCAUUAAUUUAUGAAUUAUUGAUCCAUUAGUAGUGAUUAUAAGAUUAAGUUACUUUAGGGAUAACAGCGUAAUUUUUUUGGAGAGUUCAUAUCGAUAAAAAAGUUUGCGACCUCGAUGUUGGAUUAAGAUAUAUUUUUAGGUGUAGCCGCUUAAAU
rnacentral:rRNA from 1 species